GUGCUUGCUUUGGCAGCACAUAAGCUAAAAUUGGAAUGAUAUGAAGAAGAUUAGCAUGGCCCCUGUGCAGGGAUGACUCACAAAUUCGUGAAGCACUCUGUAUUUUU